ACAGGAACAUGACCUACGAGUUGACAGGCGGUGUAGCCGAGUCUGCCUGUCACUUCUGUAGGCCAAGCUCCUGU
rnacentral:pre_miRNA from 1 species